rnacentral:rRNA from 1 species
GAUGAACGCUGACAGAAUGCUUAACACAUGCAAGUCUACUUGAACUUCGGUUUGGGUGGCGGACGGGUGAGUAACGCGUAAAGAACUUGCCUCACAGAUAGGGACAACAUUUGGAAACGAAUGCUAAUACCUGAUAUUAUGAUUUUAGGGCAUCCUAGAAUUAUGAAAGCUAUAUGCACUGUGAGAGAGCUUUGCGUCCCAUUAGCUAGUUGGAGAGGUAACGGCUCACCAAGGCGAUGAUGGGUAGCCGGCCUGAGAGGGUGAUCGGCCAAAAGGGGACUGAGACACGGCCCUUACUCCUACGGGAGGAAGCAGUGGGGAAUAUUGGAAAAUGGACCAAGAGUCUGAUACAGAAAUUCUGUGUGCAAGAUGAAGUUUUUCGGAAUGUAAAGUGCUUUCAGUUGGGAAGAAAAAAAUGACGGUACCAACAGAAGAAGUGACGGCUAAAUACGUG